rnacentral:rRNA from 1 species
GAUGAACGCUGGCGGCGUGCCUAAUACAUGCAAGUCGAGCGAACAGAUGAGGAGCUUGCUCCUCUGACGUUAGCGGCGGACGGGUGAGUAACACGUGGAUAACCUACCUAUAAGACUGGGAUAACUUCGGGAAACCGGAGCUAAUACCGGAUAAUAUAUUGAACCGCAUGGUUCAAUAGUGAAAGACGGUUUUGCUGUCACUUAUAGAUGGAUCCGCGCCGCAUUAGCUAGUUGGUAAGGUAACGGCUUACCAAGGCAACGAUGCGUAGCCGACCUGAGAGGGUGAUCGGCCACACUGGAACUGAGACACGGUCCAGACUCCUACGGGAGGCAGCAGUAGGGAAUCUUCCGCAAUGGGCGAAAGCCUGACGGAGCAACGCCGCGUGAGUGAUGAAGGGCUUCGGAUCGUAAAACUCUGUUAUUAGGGAAGAACAAAUGUGUAAGUAACUAUGCACGUCUUGACGGUACCGAAGCAGAAAGCCACGGCUAACUACGU